rnacentral:rRNA from 1 species
GUAGGUCCGAGCGUAUCCGGAAUCAUUGGGGCAUAAAGAGCUCGUAGGCGGUUCAGCAAGUCGGCUGUGAAAGUUCGAGGCUCAACUCGAAAUUGCAGUCGAUACUGCUGUGACUUGAAUUCGGUAGAGGAGAAUGGAAUUCCCGGUGUAGCGGUGAAAUGCGCAGAUAUCGGGAGGAACACCAGUAGCGAAGGCGGUUCUCUGGGCCGAUAUUGACGCUGAGGAGCGAAAGCGUGGGGAGCAAACAGGAUUAGAUACCCUGGUAGUCCACGCCGUAAACGUUGGAUGCUAGGUGUGGCGGUCUACCAACGACUGCCGUGCCGAAGCUAACGCAUUAAGCAUCCCGCCUGGGGAGUACGGCCGCAAAGGCUAA